rnacentral:rRNA from 1 species
CCUACGGGAGGCAGCAGUGGGGAAUAUUGCACAAUGGGGGAAACCCUGAUGCAGCGACGCCGCGUGAGUGAAGAAGUAUUUCGGUAUGUAAAGCUCUAUCAGCAGGGAAGAAAAUGACGGUACCUGAUUAAGAAGCCCCGGCUAACUACGUGCCAGCAGCCGCGGUAAUACGUAGGGGGCAAGCGUUAUCCGGAUUUACUGGGUGUAAAGGGAGCGUAGGCUGUGAGGUAAGUCAGCGGUGAAAUGCCCCCGCUCAACGGGGUGAAGUGCCAUUGAUACUGCCUUGCUGGAAUGCGGAUGCCGUGGGAGGAAUGUGUGGUGUAGCGGUGAAAUGCAUAGAUAUCACGCAGAACGCCGAUUGCGAAGGCAGCAUACCGGCGCCCAACUGACGCUGAGGCACGAAAGCGUGGGGAUCGAACAGGAUUAGAUACCCGAGUAGUC